GUUUUGUUUUGUUUGUUUGUUGGUUGGUUGCUUUGGUUUGGUUUUUGUUGUUUUUUUGUUGGGAUUUCUUGGGACAGCCUUGAUUGUCCUGGACUCCAUUUGUAGACCAGGCUGAGUUCACAGUGAUCCACCUGCCCCUGCCCUCCUGAGUACUACCAUGCCCAGCUUGUUUUGUUUGUGGUGUGUGUGUGUGUGUGUGUGUGUGUGCGCGUGCACUUGGUUUUUCAAGACAGGAUUUCUCUUUAUAGCUCUGGCUGUCCUAGAACUCACUCUGUGGACCAGGCUGGCCUCCAACUCUGAGACCCACCUGCCUCUGCCCCCCGGAUGCUGGGAUUAAAGGCGUGCGCCACCGCCUGGCUCACCUAACAUUGAGUAUAUCCACACCAGUGUGCAGCCUCUGCCACUGUCUACCUUCAGAAUAUCCAUCACCCUAAACUAAAGCUCCAAUUAAACACUAAGUCAUGGGCGGGGAGGAUGAGUCAGACAAUAAAGCGCCUGCUGUGCAAGCCCGAAGACCCGAGUUCCAGCCUCAAGUCCACGUAAAAAGGCUGGGUCAGCGGUGCACACCUGUAAUCCUAAUGCUGGGGGGGCAGAGACAGGAGGGUCCCUGGGGCUCACUGGCCAGCUAGUUCAGCCCUAAUCGGCGAGCUCCAGGCCAAUGAGGGAUUCCGUCUCCAAAACCACCGUGGGAACGGUGAGACGGCUUGGUGGAUAAGGGUGCUUUCUGCACACACAAAUAAUAAGUAAAUGCAAAUAUAUUUUAAAGAAACCACAUAAACAUAAACGUUUCCUAGCGAACACUGACUUUGUCUCCUGGCUUCCACGCGCACCCACGUACACACCUGCACUCACACAAAAAUAAAGAAGUCAUUCUCUCCUGCCUCCAGCGCCUGGCAAACACCGUUCUGGAGCCUAUGAAUUUGGCUAGUCAAAGUAGCUUCUAAAAAGGGACCUACGUGCCGCUUGUCCAUAAUUUGCGACUGGCUUAUUCUAGUGCGAUGUCUCAGUCCACUGAGAUUGCUGCGUCAGCUUCCUGAAGGCUGAAUGCUGUUCUUCUGCAUGGACUCACCACCUGAGCUCAUCUACGGCGACCCACGGACAUCGCGAUGUCAUCAUCAUUCAUCCAUGAUGAAGUGAGUCGUGCCUGCCUGACGACCCAGAGGGUAGAGGUAUUUCCCAUCAAGCUGGACCACCUGAGUUCAAUCUUGGUGGAAGGACAGAAUCUCGUCCUGCAACUUGUCCUCUGCCCCCCCAGCAUGUGUGACACAGCAAGCAAGCGCCUCUGAGACGCAAGCGCGGAACAUAGUUAAUUUUUAAAAACAAUUUUAGGGCUCGGGGAAACAGUUCGGUUAGCAUAAAAACCCGAGUCCGGAUCCCAGCGCCCAUGUCAAAAGCUGGGUGUGGUUGUGCCUGUAUAUAACCCUGGAGACAGGGACAAGCGGGUUGCUGGGGCUUGCUGCACAGCCAGCUGAACCUAAUCAUGGAGCUCAGGUCCCAGGGAGACACUGUCUCAAGGAAACAAGGGAGAUGGUUCCGGGGAAAGAUACCUGAGCUUUUCCUCCAGCCUUCACACACACUUACGUACAUGCAACUCAUACAUUAUACAUGUAUGUACACAUAAUCCUUGCACCAUUUGACAUAUGGCUGGAGAAUCACGAAUUUCCCCCCAAUUCUUUCUCCCCUGUGGGAGUUUGAAUAACGGCCCCCCCAUAGGCUCCUUUAUUUGAACGCUUCGUCAUCAGGGAGUGGCUAGUUGAGGAAGAUUAGGGGGUGUGGUCUUGCUGGAGUGGGCGUGGCCUUGUUCGAGGAAGCGUGUCACCGGGAGGUGGGCUUUGAGAUUUUAAAAGCCCAUAUCAGGCCCGCUGUCUCUCUCUCUCUCUCGGCCCACAGAUCAGGAUGCAGCUCUCAUCAACUUCUCCAGCACCACGCUUGCAUGCCACCAUGGUCCCUGCUGCCGCACUCCCUGUCACGAUUAUGGUGGACGAAGGCCCCGAGAGGGUGCACUGUGGCCCGUAUCUACACCUGACAGAACACAGCGGUGGAAUGCUCACCUCACGGUAAUGGGAAAGCAAAGACAGAGCGCCAGGAAUGCCCUGUCACGGCGAAGCCCUGGCGAUACAGCUCCUCACUAGGCCCCACUUCCUAAAGGCUUCAGUAACUCCCAGGAGUGUUGCCUCCCGGAAACCAUGCUUCUGGCCCGUCUCAAUCUGUGAAGGCACUUGGACCGAUCUUGGCAACCUGAGUUCCAUCCCAGAAACACAGAGGGUAGCAGGGAACUAGCGCCCUACGAGGUUUCUUCUAACCUUCACACAUGUGCUGUGGUGGCAGGUAACAUACAUAUAUACAGACAUACAUAUACAUACACACAUAUAUAUGUGUGUGUAUAUAUAUACAUAUAUAUGUGUAUAUAUCCUUCACCAAUACAUAAAUGUUAACAAAAUUAUCUAUUUGGCAGGGCUGGGAGGAUGCUAGGAUGGGACAGCCUGUCUGUAAUUCCAGUGCCAGGGAGCCAGAGAUGGGAUCCCCAGAAUAAUCUUGCUAGCUUAGACUAGGGGCGCAGCAAGCUCCAGGUUCAUGGAAGAGACCUCAGCUCAAUACAUAACACAGAAAGUGAUCAAAGAAGGCACAUGAACUGCUGGCCUCCAUACACCUGUGGAGUAUGUAUAUACACCAGCCUGUACAUACAUGCACAUCCGUAUACAUAUGAAUGCGUGUGAGCGCAGGCACAAAGAUCCUAUGGUGUCCUUGCGGCCGUCAGAAGACAACCUGUGAGGGUCGGUUCUCCCCUUCCACCAUGGUUGCUCGAGGGACUGGACUCAAGGUGUCAGCAAACACCAGUACGUACUGAGCCAUCUCCCUGGCAGCCUUCCCAGUCUCUUGACCUCAGAUGAAUUCAUCACCUCUGGAUCCACUGUGAAACUUCCCCCACUGCCUCGGGAGAUGAUUAAUCUUGCUGUGUCCCGUCUCUUACUUGUGAGUUAUUGCCCCCGUCUCUCCAUUGUACGCUGUGCUUAGAGAUGCUGACUUCUCCAUACCCCGCCCCCCCCCAGCUCUCCCACAAUACCUUGAACAGAAAAAGCACUUGGUGCAGAAUGGUUGGCUGGUAGCGUGAACAAACACUCCUCCCUGGAAGUGGACAUUGA